CUCUCUCCCUCUCUAAACUAAAUUGGGGCUUACUCUAUUGAAGAAACAGUGGUUGCCUUCCUCCAUCGAAACUCCAGCGGCGGUCCAGGAUUUGCAUUCCAUUACUUCGGAUUGCUUCUUGGAAGUCAGUGGUGCAGUCAUUCACCCCCUUUCUUAUCAACAGGUGGUUAAUAAAUAAAAACAAUGGCAUCAAAAGGUCAUGGUAAUGGACGGCGUAAGAAAGGUAAGAAAGGACCUGAUAAUCUUCUAAUAGGUCAAUAUACAACACCACCACCACCACCACCUGUUACCACAACUUUUCAACCAGCUACUACAAAUAUUCUUCCUCCUCCAAAGGCAACUAUUUCACUACCAAAUACAUUUUUCAUUCCUUCACCACCCACCAGUUCUAGCCCUCUUCUCUCCAUAAUAGUCUGCAUUGUAGAUCUUCAUCUGUACCUUUAACAUCAUCCACACCUAGCCUUUCUGGAUUGAGAAUUGAAGGUCCUAGCACAUCAAUAUCGCCAUCCAUUGAUAGUGCUACAGCAUCUAAUGCUACAGAAGCUACUUUUCAGAUUCUAAAAUUUAAAAAGGUAGUAGAAUAUGACGGCAAUGGGAGGCUAAUUA